rnacentral:rRNA from 1 species
AGCAGCCGCGGUAAUUCCAGCUCCAAUAGCGUAUAUUAAAGUUGUUGCAGUUAAAAAGCUCGUAGUUGAAUUUCGGGGUCAGUAGGUCGGUCGUGCCACUGGUAUGAACUGGUUUUACUGAUUCCUCCCUCUUGAAGAACUGUAAUGCCAUUAAUUUGGUGUUGCAGGGAAUCAGGACUGUUACUUUGAAAAAAUUAGAGUGUUUAAAGCAGGCUUUAGCUUGAAUACAUUAGCAUGGAAUAAUGAAAUAGGACGUUUGAUCCUAUUUUGUUGGUUUCUAGGAUUGACGUAAUGAUUAAUAGGGAUAGUUGGGGGCAUUAGUAUUCAAUUGCCAGAGGUGAAAUUCUUGGAUUCAUUGAAGACUAACUACUGCGAAAGCAUUUGCCAAGGAUGUUUUCAUUAAUCAAGAACGAAAGUUAGGGGAUCGAAGACGAUCAGAUACCGUCGUAGUCUUAACCAUAAACUAUGCCGACUAGGGAUCGGAUGAUGUUAAUUUUUUAAUGACUCA